UUUGCCAGAUUAAAAUCAAGCAUUUCAUCUGAUGUUAAGAAGCGAACAUCACUAUCUUCAGAAAGAGAAGAAUUUCCAGUUCCACGUUUAAUGAAAAGCAUCCAGAUUCUGUUAAUGAGGCGUUGUACAGAGGAGAGAUAAUUCUUGCUGUAUCAUUUACAAGACGUCCAGAUGCCUCAAUAUAAAGCUCCCAAUGUAUGAUCAUGUGUCGGACCUGUGCCAAUGUGCGAGCUCGGUGUUUCAAAAUUAUAUCGCCGCCAGUCAAAAUCAUGUAGAGGAUCCUGUUCCCACCAGCAUAAAUCCGGCUUCUCAAAGUCACACUUAAUGCCCCAAUUAAAGCAUAACCAGCUUCGCAGAAAUACAUAAGUAUCGCACCAUCAUGCUUCUUAGCUACUAAAGCGUGUUCGGGUUUAGGAAGAGCCGCACAUUCUGCAUCUAUUGAUAUACAAGAAUAAUUAUUUCUAUAAAAAUAAUUACUAUAAAUAAUUAAUGUUUCAAAUUAAUAGUUUAAUUUAUAUAUAAACCAAACAAAAUAACACUUACUAACACAUACUGGUACUGGUGUGUCCCAUUGUCCAUGUAUACACGUAGAAUAUCUGUUCCCCACGAGGGUGUAACCAUGGUUACAAUGAAAUCUAACGAUUCUACCUCUAGCCCGUGCGCGUACUUUUCCAUUUAAUAAUUGUACAACGGAACAUCGAUCUAACAAGGAAGUAAAUAUAAAUAUUUGAAUGUUAUACAGUUACGCUUCGUUUUUCAAAUCUUCCUGAGCAGUAUCUUCCUAUAGUGAAACUUCGAUGAUCGGUAUUAUUUACAAUACUGUAUAUUACUGUAUAUUACAUAUAACGUAAUAAAACACACAUAAG